GAUGAACGCUAGCUACAGGCUUAACACAUGCAAGUCGCGGGGCAGCAUGGGGGUUGCUUGCAACCCCUGAUGGCGACCGGCGCACGGGUGAGUAACGCGUAUCCAACCUGCCCUUCACCACGGGAUAACCCGGCGAAAGUCGGACUAAUACCGUAUGUUGUCCAUUGACGGCAUCCGAUUUGGACGAAAGGCUUGGCGGUGGAAGGAUGGGGAUGCGUCCGAUUAGCUUGACGGCGGGGUAACGGCCCACCGUGGCUACGAUCGGUAGGGGUUCUGAGAGGAAGGUCCCCCACACUGGAACUGAGACACGGUCCAGACUCCUACGGGAGGCAGCAGUGAGGAAUAUUGGGCAAUGGGCGUAAGCCUGAACCAGCCAAGUAGCGUGCAGGAUGACGGCCCUAUGGGUUGUAAACUGCUUUUAUGCGGGGAUAAAGUGGCCCACGUGUGGGCUUUUGCAGGUACCGCAUGAAUAAGGACCGGCUAAUUCCGUG
rnacentral:rRNA from 1 species